rnacentral:tRNA from 1 species
GGAGAUGUUUCGUCACCGGUGUGGCGCCCGGCCUUCAAAGCCGGCGGAAGGUUGAAAAAUCUUCGGUAGGUUCGACCCCUAUGCAUCUCCGCCA